rnacentral:rRNA from 1 species
CCUACGGGAGGCAGCAGUGGGGGAUAUUGCACAAUGGGGGGAACCCUGAUGCAGCGACGCCGCGUGUGGGAAGACGGUCCUCUGGAUUGUAAACCACUGUCCCCAGGGACGAAAAUGACGGUACCUGGGGAGGAAGCUCCGGCUAAGUACGUGCCAGCAGCCGCGGUAAUACGUAGGGAGCGAGCGUUGUCGGGAAUUACUGGGUGUAACGGGAGCGUAGGCGGGGAUGCAAGUUGGGUGUCAAAACUACGGGCUCAACUGGUAGUCGCACUCAAAACUGCAGCUCUUGAGUGAAGUAGAGGCAGGCGGAAUUCCUAGUGUAGCGGUGAAAUGCGUAGAUAUUAGGAGGAACACCAGUGGCGAAGGCGGCCUGCUGGGCUUUUACUGACGCUGAGGCUCGGAAGUGUGGGGAGCAAACAGGAUUAGAUACCCGGGUAGUC